GCCGGCAGCUAGCUCUCUGCAACUCUCACAUGGUCGCCCACUGAAGCUAAACAGGGCUGCACCCGGUCAGUACCUGGAUGAGAGACCACAUGGGAAAGCUAGGUUGCUGCCGGAA
rfam:Danio rerio chromosome 9, GRCz11 reference primary assembly.